UACGUAGGUGGCGAGCGUUGUCCGGAUUUAUUGGGCGUAAAGCGCGCGCAGGCGGUGCGGUAAGUCUGUCGUGAAAUCUCCCGGCUCAACUGGGAGGGUGCGGUGGAGACUGCCGGACUGGAGGCACUCAGAGGCCGGUGGAAUUCCCGGUGUAGUGGUGAAAUGCGUAGAGAUCGGGAGGAACACCAGUGGCGAAGGCGGCUCACUGGCCCGGUACUGACGCUGAGGUGCGAAAGCGUGGGGAGCAAACAGG
rnacentral:rRNA from 1 species